rnacentral:rRNA from 1 species
UGAGUUUGAUCCUGGCUCAGGAUGAACGCUGGCGGCGUGCCUAACACAUGCAAGUCGAACGGGGUAUAUAAGCGGAAGUUUACGGAUGGAAGCAGAUAUGACUGAGCGGCGGACGGGUGAGUAACGCGUGGGUAACCUGCCUCAUACAGGGGGAUAACAGUAAGAAAUGACUGCUAAUACCGCAUAAGCGCACAGGACCGCAUGGUCAAGUGUGAAAAACUCCGGUGGUAUGAGAUGGACCCGCGUCUGAUUAGCUGGUUGGUGAGGUAACGGCCCACCAAGGCGACGAUCAGUAGCCGACCUGAGAGGGUGGCCGGCCACAUUGGGACUGAGACACGGCCCAAACUCCUACGGGAGGCAGCAGUGGGGAAUAUUGCACAAUGGGGGAAACCCUGAUGCAGCAACGCCGCGUGAGUGAAGAAGUAUUUCGGUAUGUAAAGCUCUAUCAGCAGGGAAGAAGAAAGACGGUACCUGACUAAGAAGCCCCGGCUAACUACGUGCCAGCAGCCGCGGUAAUACGUAGGGGGCAAGCGUUAUCCGGAUUUACUGGGUGUAAAGGGAGCGCAGGCGGUUCUGCAAGUCUGAUGUGAAAGCCCGGGGCUCAACCGCGGGACUGCAUUGGAAACUGCGGGAC